rnacentral:sRNA from 1 species
GUCGUGAGAUGUUGGGUUAAGUCCCGCAACGAGCGCAACCCCUGUCGCAUGUUGCCAGCAUUUAGUUGGGGACUCAUGCGAGACUGCCGGUGACAAACCGGAGGAAGGUGGGGAUGACGUCAAGUCCUCAUGCCCCUUAUGUCCAGGGCUACACACGUGCUACAUUGGCCGGUACAAAGGGCUGCGAUACCGCGAGGUGGAGCGAAUCCCAAAAAGCCGGUCUCGGUUCGGAUUGGAGGCUGAAACUCGCCUCCAUGAAGGCGGAGUUGCUAGUAAUCCCGGAUCAGCAACGCCGGGGUGAAUACGUUCCCGGGCCUUGUACACACCGCCCGUCACACCACGAAAGCAGGCAACACCCGAAGUCGGUGACCCAACCCUCACGGGAGGGAGCCGCCGAAGGUGGGGCUCGUGAUUGGGGUGAAGUCGUAACAAGGUAGCCGUACCGGAAGGUGCGGCUGGAUCACCUCCUUUCUAGGGAGCUCCUAACUAAUGGAGUCCGCCGCGUCGGUCCUAUGUGGCCGGCCGGCGUCCUUAGCAUGUCGACCGAACCUUGUUGGCCCUCCGCUUCGGUGGAGGCCAUUGCACUGCUGAGUUUUGAGAGACCAGCCGGGGAAUCCCCCCGGUGGCGCCCUCGCCGGUCCUUGAAAACUGCACAGUUGGCCAAAUAAGACGGGUAAAUCACCAGUCGCGCUCGGGCCUCGGUCCGCGCGCGGCGAUCACCGUCAAGAUAGUAAGGGCACAUGGUGGAUGCCUUGGCAUCAGGAGUCGAUGAAGGGCGUGGACGGCUGCGAUAAGCCGCGGUGAGCUGCUGAACAGGCUUUGACCCGCGGAUGC